UGUAAAAAAUUGUUGUAAAAAAACAGCCAAAAUCUGACAGUAACAUACUGUUUUCCAUUAAAACAGUAAUGUCCUGUAGAAAACAAUGCAUUAUGGGCAAUAUUUUUCAGUUUAAGAAAUUGCUGUUAAUUUACAGCCAAUUUUUAACAGUACUCUACUGUAUUUAAGUAAUACGGUUUUUUGCUGUUUGCAGUGCAUUAUGGGCUGUGUUAAAUACAGUACAAUGCAGUAUUUUUAUAUAUAUAUUAUUUUUUUUUAAUUGGGUGUACAACUGCGAGUACAAGUUUGGUCAAAGUGCGUUAUGUUUUGUCAGUUUGGUUAAUUUGCAAUUUUCUAGCAUCCAAAAUAAUUUUCAGUCAGGUAGCCUACUUGUGAUGACAUUUUUUUACAAACGUCAUUUGUAAAGCACUUUUUUCACGAAGAGGAAAGUUCGAAGGACAUCUGCUUUACAUCGCCAUUCGCCAUCCGAAGUCCUUCAACUGCACUGACCUGCAUCUGCAUCUGUACCUACACGGUGUGUGCCACUGCAGCUGACGUUGAGACAACCCUGACUGUACCCGCAAGUCCUCGCCUGAUUCUACUUGGUGGAACUGGGCAAGUCACUUUUGGGCGCUGGAUGAUCACGCUUGAGGGUCGUGUCAUAUCUGAAGGCAUCACAUCAACCUUUUUGACGGGACUUGCUGCUGUAUUUGCAACAUACUAUAUGCUUAACCUCCAAUAUCAAGAAGAAGCAGCCUGUACUCUGGAAUUCAUUUAGAGGUGCUUCAUUGGCAUCAAUCCCGAAAAAGGCACAAAGGCCACCCGGGGAAAGGUUGUCCCGAAAAAAUUAUCCACAGUGAAUGCACAUGUCUCCACACUAUUGAAGAACCUAAUCAACUUUCAGUGG